rnacentral:rRNA from 1 species
CCCUUAGAUGUUCUGGGCCGCACGCGCGCUACACUGAUUCAUGCAACAAGUUUUGUCCUCGGCUGAUAGGCCUGGGUAAUCUUUGAACGUGAAUCGUGAUGGGGAUAGAUGAUUGCAAUUAUUCAUCUUCAACGAGGAAUUCCUAGUAAACGCAAGUCAUCAGCUUGCAUUGAUUACGUCCCUGCCCUUUGUACACACCGCCCGUCGCUCCUACCGAUUGAGUGAUCCGGUGAGUAAUUCGGACUGCAGCAGUGUUCAGUUCCUGAACGUUGCAGCGGAAAGUUUAGCAAACCUUAUCACUUAGAGGAAGGAGAAGUCGUAACA